ensembl:lncRNA
GAGCAGGGUUCUCAUUUGAUAUCGCAGCCCCGUCUGGGAACAACAUAAGCAGCCUCUUACCGCUCAGGAAGCACUCAACGCUGGAGUCAACCGUCCACUGAUCAUUUGGCUCUCUGUGUUCUCUGUCUAGCUUUGUUUAGCUCUCUUUCCUCUCUCUCUCUCUCUCUCUCUCUCUCUCCCUCUCUCUCUCACUGUUCUCUCUCUCUAUAACUGUGUGGAUCACGCCCCCACUUCUCUCUCUCGUGCGUGAGCUCUCUGUCUCUCACUAACUCCCUCACUCCCUCACCCAUCUCUCUCUCUCUCUCCCUCUCUCUCUCCCUUUCUCUCUCUCACUCUCCCUCACCCUCCAUCAGUUUCUCCACCAGCUUCAGUCAGACUAGAAGGGAGUUGGAGGCUACUGGGUCUACUGUCAGAUAGGCAGGACUAGAUCCAACAACCCACAGGAUUAUUUACCUUUAAAGGAAUAUACUCUUUUCCUUGAUUCUACCUCUUGCCUUUCUGUCUUCCUUCAUCAACAUCCACAUCCUGCUCUUACUCUUCUUCCUCCUCCCCCUCGUCCUCCUCCUGCCUUUCUUUCUCCUGCUUCCACACCCUGCCUCUGAGCGUGUUGGAGAGAGGCACCGUUCGCGCGGCAAAGCGGUUCGAGUGGACCUCAGUGUGAGUGUGAGUGUGAGUGUGUGAGUGUAUGUGUGCGUGUGAGCCUCUCCAGUCCACUCUCUCUCUCAGUGGAACAGCCCUUUUUAAAUGGACUUUUAUAUUGGUUUGAGACUUUAUCACCACUGAAAGCAACACCACUGCCGAAGCACUACUGUACAUGUUGGAAUAAAAACAGAUCAGAAAAUCUUUAGUCCCAAGAUGAGUGAGGAAGCUAAAGAUAAAACCACUGGCAAACCAGCGCAUCGUAAGAAGAAAGGCAAAAAGUUCCCAGUUGUUUUGAAAGCACCAUAAAUCCUGAGAAUGCCCGACUUUGAUUACAAAAUUUGCCCACGAAGGACUGCCA